rnacentral:misc_RNA from 1 species
AAACACUGGUUUAAACUAAGAAGGAAAGAAAUGGAAGGGAUAAUGCACAGAAUGGUGAGUGUGAAUGGUAUCAACAUGCAUAUUGCUGAGAAAGGGGAAGGGCCAGUGAUACUAUUUCUACAUGGAUUCCCACAGCUCUGGUACACCUGGCGCCAUCAGAUUCUUGCUUUAAGCUCGCUUGGAUACCAUGCUGUUGCCCCAGACCUUAGAGGCUAUGGUGAUAGUGAUGCUCCAGCUUCAAGCAGUAGCUAUACCUGCCUCCACAUUGUUGGUGACCUUAUAGCUCUUAUUGAUCAAUUUGGAGUAGAGCAAGUGUUUCUUGUGGCUCAUGAUUGGGGUGCCAUUGUUGGGUGGUACUUGUGCUUGUUUAGGCCUGAUAGAGUGAAGGCAUUUGUUUGCCUUAGUGUUCCUUACAAGCCAAGAAAUCCAAAGAUGAAACCUGUAGAGGGCUUGCGACUUCUCUAUGGAGAUGACUACUACAUUUGCAGAUUUCAGGAACCAGGGGAAAUUGAAGCUGAAAUAGCACGUGCUGGUACUGCAGAAGUUCUGAAGAAAAUCUGGACAAUUCGCAAACCAGGUGCCCCUUGCAUGCCUAAAGAAAAUUCAUUUGAAAUCUGUCCAGAGAAUCCAUCAACUUUACCCUCUUGGCUUAAAGAAGAAGACCUUGCUUAUUAUGUGUCCAAAUUUAAUCAGAAAGGCUUCACUGGAGGGUUAAACUACUACAGAGCUAUGGACUUGAACUGGGAGCUCACAGCCUCAUGGACUGAUGUAGAGGUGAAAGUAUCCAUAAAAUUUGUUGUUGGGGAUUUGGACAUGGUGUAUACCACCCCAGGGAUAAAGGAAUAUGUACACAGCAGUGGCUUCAGGCAUUGCGCACCAUUAUUGAAGGAUAUUGUUGUGAUGGAAGGAGUUGGUCACUUCAUCAACGAGGAAAGAGCAGAGGAGAUCAACACUCUUAUUUAUGACUUCAUUAGGAAAUAAUGAUCACCUCACAUUCUCUAUUUCCUACCAUGUUUCAAGAUAUUAAUUCCUUUCUCUAUUUUUCCUACCAUGCUGCUGUUGCCCAUGUUUUAUUCGGCAAUGAGACAUUGUCUUUCCGAGCACCAUAAGAAUUCUACACGAUGUAUGUUUUAACAUAUUGGCAGGAGAAAU